CUACCCUUGACAUGUCCAGAAUCCUGCAGAGAUGCGGGAGUGCCCGAAAGGGAAUUGGAACACAGGUGCUGCAUGGCUGUCGUCAGCUCGUGUCGUGAGAUGUUGGGUUAAGUCCCGCAACGAGCGCAACCCUUAUCAUUAGUUGCUACGCAAGGGCACUCUAAUGAGACUGCCGGUGACAAACCGGAGGAAGGUGGGGAUGACGUCAAGUCCUCAUGGCCCUUAUGGGUAGGGCUUCACACGUCAUACAAUGGUCGGUACAGAGGGUUGCCAAGCCGCGAGGUGGAGCCAAUCCCAGAAAGCCGAUCGUAGUCCGGAUUGUUCUCUGCAACUCGAGAGCAUGAAGUCGGAAUCGCUAGUAAUCGCGGAUCAGCAUGUCGCGGUGAAUACGUUCCC
rnacentral:rRNA from 1 species